rnacentral:rRNA from 1 species
UACGAAGGUCCCAAGCGUUGUUCGGAAUCACUGGGCGUAAAGGGAGCGUAGGCGGUAAGGUAAGUCAGAUGUGAAAUCUCGGGGCUCAACCCCGAAACUGCAUUUGAUACUGCUUUACUAGAGUAUUGGAGAGGUAACAGGAAUUCUCGGUGUAGCAGUGAAAUGCGUAGAGAUCGAGAGGAAGACCAAUGGCGAAGGCAUGUUACUGGACAAUUACUGACGCUGAGGCUCGAAGGCUAGGGUAGCGAAAGGG